CAGAAGUUGGCAUGUCAAUUUCCUAUUCAGACCGUAGAUGAUCUGAUUGGGGUUAAUUCGAAUAUAAACAUCGCUAACCGAGAGCUCUAUAUCCAUGCAAUAAAAAAUUUAAUAUUAAAUGGCGGGAUACUAAAAAACAUAAAAAAUAUUUUAACCAAUGAAGUGGUCUUGGCGUAUAAUGUGGAUAGCGUUCAGCGCAAAGCGUCCCUAAGAAAAGAAGACAAUUUCUUUGGCGUUAUGAUCGAUGCAAUAACUGCAGUCGGCGGUAUUGGCCCAGCUGA